AUCAAAACGAUUCUCGGCAACGGAUAUCUCGGCUCUUGCAUCGAUGAAGAACGUAGAGAAAUGUGAUACUUGGUGUGAAUUGCAGAAUCCCGUGAACCAUCGAGUCUUUGAACGCAAGUUGCGCCCAAAGCCAUUAGGCCGAGGGCACGCCUGCGUGGGUGUCACAC
rnacentral:rRNA from 1 species